CCACCGCCAAUGAUGAGAUGCCUACCUAUCCUCACCGGCAACUGUUCAGUCUUAAGGAGCUUUAAAUUACUUCACAAUUUUAAAUUCCAGAUAAUCAGGUUACCAGGACCUGUGAUGCUGCUAUUAAAAAUGACUGAUUUCAAGGACUUUAAGAAAAUAGAAAAUUCCCCCUUUGUUAUUCAGGUUCUUCUUUUACAGGGGUUCCUACAGCUACAUGACUAGGAGAAAGAAGGUAAUUUUUCCUGGCCAUUUACUAAAGCUCAUUAAAGACUGAAGAGAACAAACAAUGCUACUCCUUAGAGACUACCAUUCAAAGUCAUUCUACAAUUCUCUGUUCUAAUGCUUGAGACAAAUUAAUUAUUCCUUAGUGAAAAGUGUAUAAUUCCUAUUCUUCAUUUUUGGGGUGGGGAGUGGGGAAUAAUAAUAAGAAGUUUAUAUCUGAGUCGAAAGCUGUCUGUGCUGAAGGGAAAUGAGAAAAAAUGUGUGUUUCAAGAAGAGUAAAAGCAAUUAUUCUAAUAAUAAUUCUAGGGAUAUUAAUGUCUUUUUAAAGUAGAUUGCUUUCAAAUAAACACCAAAGUUGAAGGGAUAGGAAAGGCUGGUUUAUUUAUUAAUCAUUCCAAAAGUGCAUUCUUCUAAAUGAACAAGUGCAUGAGCAACUUCGCUGGCACAUAUUAAAUUUAGUUAAACGGCAACUUGUAAAUGUCUAAAAACUUCUGUAACCAGAGACUAAUUUGUUUAACGUGUUGAAAAUGUUAUGUGGAUGUGAGGAACUACAUAUUAAACUUCAAAGCAAAAUGCUCCAGAGAUUACACCAUCUUAAAGACUGCAUAUUGGAAGGCCUUUAUACAUUAAACAUAAAGGAUUUUUAAUUCUCUUAUAUUUUGAAUACUUGUCAAUCUGUGUGACUCAUGCUUAGGAUUGUAAACUGUCAUUUAAGGUGUGAUGUCCAAGUUGAGGCCUGGACCACGAUUUGCAAGGGGCUGAAUUUUCUCUUUCAUCUCUAUUAAUUAAUCCUGUCUCAGUUUGCCCAGCGUACACUUCUGUUGACAUCACCUUUUCCAUAUACUUUAAAGAGUCCCCAGAGAGAUCUACUGCAGAACAAAAACUGGACAGAGAAUACAUUUGGAAACCAUUUUAUUUCUCAAUUACCAACCAAAACGUAUGGAAGAGAUUUACACUCUAUCUGAUUUACACAAUAAUUAUACUUUGAAAGCUUAGAAAUAAAUGGCUUGAUCCUUGAAAUCAUUAGUUACUAUACCAAAUGUAAUUGGUGUAAACUAAUGAGUUUACUGGAUGGCUGACCCUUAAUUACUGAUUAUAGUUAAACUCUAGCCAAUCAAAAAUGAGUUUACUUAUAAAAGUACAGUAUAGUAUUAACAAGCAUUACAUUUCCAAGUAAGCAGCUUUAUGAUUAGUUGUAGCACACAACUCAAGCCUGUUCAGGGCUAUCAAAAGCAGCUUUUUAAUAAUAGUGCACUAAGCAACCAUCAGUCUCUUACCUCAGCGUCUAUCAGACAAACAGAAAGAAACCACAGAAUUAAUCAUCUCAUGCAAUAGAAAUAAAGCAUCUGGGCCAGAUCCAGGUGGGAUAUACACAGCUGCCUUAGUCAAAAGAGCUGCAAGAGGCUGGGGAUUCGCUUUAAGAUAGGAUAACAGACAUGGGGAAUUUUGGCCCUCUGUGGGAGCAAUAUGCAGUAUGGAAGUUAAAUAUUGAUCGACUGUGUGCACUCCUGUGUGAUAGGGAGAAGCCUAUCAACAAAAUAGGUUUAAUAAUGCCUUGAAUUGAGGAGGAUUCCUUAAGCAGAUUCAAUAUGUGGUGAUAUGACAUUUGGUUACCAUGCUGGCAAUACGAAAAAUUCAGAAGUCAUGACUCCUCUCUACAUAUUAGAUCAAAUGAAGAUAAUUUUAAAAAUUAAUACUAAAUGGGAAGAAAUAAUUUUUAUUUGUUUCUGAUUGAACUUUAAGAAUUAAUGUUUUUGCCUAACCAGAAAGACUCAAAAUUCCUACUAAAAAUGUCGAAAGCCAAUUUGUGUAAAGACCAUGAUUACAGAGCUGGGACUUUAAAUAGGUACACCACAUAUUUUGAGAAAAUCAUAGGACUUUACUUACAGUCACAUCCUUAAAGGUACUUAGGCAAGUGACACUGAUGGUUUAAAGAUGUGUAAAUUCUCCAUCUCCUAGAAUUUUCCUGUGAAUCCUAAACUUCAGAUAGGAGACUGAUGCUGGAAAGCACAAGCAUUAGAUCAAGUCUGAUGCACUGCUACUAUGGAGAUCUAGUGGGAAGAGUAUGUGUUUGCUGGAGCUCUGUAGCCUGUGCGCUCUUCAGAUGACCUGAUGGACCUCACAGCUGCCAGGAUUCAUUCUGUCAGAAUUACAGGUCUCUCCCAUUUCUGCUCUUCUCUAUGAUGUUCUCUCUGGUGUUUGCUUUUCAUAAAGAGCUAGGCUCAGCAGAGGACCAACCUAAUCUGAGGGCUCUUUGGCAGAAGUGCUGUAACACUUGCCCAUUUAUUAGUAUGAAAAUUUUCUUAAAACUCAGAAAAUGAAGAAUGAAUUAGUUCUUCAAAUGUCUGCACAUGAGUUAAAGUGAAAUUCAUGCAUUUACUAAACUCCUGUUUGUGAAAUGUGUCUGGGGUCAAGAAAAGGUUAAAGUUGUUUACUGCCUUCAAGCUCUGGUCUUAGAAGUUAAUUCAGCUGUGCUGUGAGCAGCUACAGAGAGUAAGUCCUUGGAACAGUGAAUUGCUGGUUUGAUAUCAAGGUCCUUGGGUCUUAAUAAUAAAAUUAGUUUGUUUCUUAAGGAAAUCCUGGCAGGGACUUUAUGGUCAUAUAAAGUCAUUAGGGUGUUUUACAAGAUAAUUUUAAAGAUGCUUUGGAAUGAUCAGAGUUUGUGGGAAGGGAUCAUAUUUUUUUAUUAUUUGUGGGAUAUCCUUAAGCUGUCAUAGCUACAACACUGCCACUUGGAAUAGCUGGUCUACAGUUCAGAAGAAAAGACAAAAGAUCUGUUGAGGCCUAAGUCAGGCAACCAGCGCAUACCUGUCAACCCACUGUAGAAUUGAAUGGAUCCCAUGCACUUCCUGACAAUCAGCUCCAAUUUUGCAGGAGCUGGAUACCUGAGGUAAUCAAGGUGUGUUAUUGCAAUUCCACAAGAGCAGAUAGCCUAGGAAGCUUUACAAGUUCUGCUUUAAACAGUUCUCUGUUGGAGGGUUCAGCAGUGAGUGAUUUUGAAAAGUCAUGGAAAAGGAAGCAGGCGUAUUUUCCAAAAAUUCGAGAUCCUGUGAACUCAGAGACAGGGGAAACGUUAAACUAGUCAAAAACCUGCCUCACCACCCCCUGCACAGCAGUGCUGGUAAGAACAAUGCUGCCAUUUCUGCUCUGCUAAUGCUGAGGCAACACCCUCCAAUGCAGAAGAAGGGAGACAAGGAACCAUUGAUUCAGGAGGAGGGUAACACACUAUGGACAGGUUCACCGUCCCCAACCUGCCACCCCUGUGGCACAGAGAAAAGAGGGGCUUCUGGAUGGACCAGCAGAAUAAGCACUGUAGGGCCUCGCUUCCCUCCUUUUCUGUGAACCAUGCCUAACUGCUUCUGUGAAAGAAAGCAUCAAGCCCCAUCUUGUUCAUAGAAAUACAACAUAUUUUAAAGCUGUAGUUAAUGGAUAAACUGUUUUCUGAUUGGAUGAGCGGCACAAUAAAUCUCUUCCCGAGCCAAGUGCAAUGCAGCUUAUUCAGUAACAGUGAAAUGAGCCACUGUCACUUUGCUGCACUUGCAUACAUCAGGCAAAAUGCUUCCAUCUUCAUCAGUCUUUUAGUGAAAUAGAAAUAAAACAAUUGUAACAGAAUGGUGUCACUGGAUCUGUGGCACCUGCUUUAAAAAUAAAUCUCCUAGCUUUGUCUUCACUAUUACUUUCAAUAAAUGUCCUAGCAUUGCCACAGUAUUUAUCUAGCAGCAGGAAACCAUUAUCCUAUGACAACAAUCUAUUCCAUUAACAUUAGCUCUUAAUUGUAAGAUUGUUUAUAAGACAGCAAAAGCUACUGAAUCAUAGUAGAAUGAUAAAAAGAGUUAUGGUCAUGGAGUAUAGUAGUCACUCCAGUUCUGAAAAACAACUUAAGAAAAGUAAAGAGCUAUAUUUUUAUAUAAAAAAUAAUGUAAUAUUCUUACACAAGAAAAUGUUUCUAAAUAAUGGAUUACAUCAGCAAAGUAACUAUUAAAGAGUUAAUGUUAAAAACUGGUACUAAGAAACUCUUGCUUUGAUAAAUGGUAUGACUAAAAAACGAAUAGAAAGCUUAGAAACUCUUCCUGAAAGCAAGGCUGCACCGAGUCAAACAGGGAAAUAAUAACAGAAGCACAUUUGUCUGGCGGAGUGAACAGAAGGAAUGUUGUAGAAUUGAGAUAUGAAGAACAUCACUGCAGAAUAGAAGGAGAACUGUCAUUCUGAUUGUUUGUCAUUAUUGUUUCAUGUCCAGUUAAGUGAACUUAGAGUGACAGUCGUGUCAUAACUACUGGCAUCUAUGUAAAUUUCAAAUCAAAUAUGAUAGAGGCACUUCUGCCAGACACAAGUCACCAGGCUGCUCUUCCUCUUUAUUUUUGUAACCCUCCAUUUUCUCAUACUGUGCUGCUAGCCCUUAAAUUAAAGAGACAACUUCAACAGGAGAUCCCUGUAAUGUUUGUGUUUCAGUUCUCAGUCCAUACCGUGCUUUUUCUCAGCACUUUGAAACAACAGCUAAUGUCAAAUUUCCAUGUGAAACAGUCACCACAAACAUCUAGGUGUAUUAGCUAAAACUAGGCGUUCCUGACAAUGACAUAUCAUACAACAAAAUCCCCAUAAUCUCUAGGUUGUAGACCUCCCCUGAAGACCUACAGAGAAAACGGCUCCAGUGUUCCCCCACUGGUUUACUAUAGUCCAAGCCAGCUAUCACAAGGGUCUUCUCUGUGGAUAGGUGCAAAAUAGGUCGAAAAGAUCAGUCAUGGACCUGUCUGUAAAUUACAGCAUCAUUCAGAGGUUAUGGGAACUUCACAAGGAUAUCAGACGUACUCCUCCAUGGCUAUGAGUUACAGUAAAUAACUAAUUUCCUGGAUACACACAUAACAGGAAGAUACUCUAAUGACAUAGGAUUUGCCACUGGACACACAUCUUUGAAAAUAAUUUUAAUGCAAUUAUAAAGGUAUUAUGUGUGGACAACACCAUCAAAAAAUAUUAAACAUGCUGUUUAUUCACUCAAGCAUAAUACUAAUUUCUUCUGCAUAUUUAAACUUACUUAGCUAAUUAAUUAUAGAGGCUAGAGAUAAGUUUUCAUUUUUCAUGUAACACGUUAUUCCAGAACAUUAUUUUU